CAAUGAUUUCCACUUGGAAAAUAGUGUUUACCAGUGGUCUAGGCUGUAAAAUGGUGGGAAAACGGCCUCACAACAGGCGAUAAAAUGUCAAAAAAUUUGUGAAACAGUCUUUGGUGCUACAGACAGCAAGGACAAAUUUGAUAUGAAUAAUUCAUGUAAUUCGUUUCCAAAUUUCUACAGUUUCUGUAGAUUCUAGCAGUGAAUCUGUCGAUGAUACAGGUGAUUUUUUUUGCUGUCAAGCAGUUUUAUUUCAUGAAAGACAAUCAUUGUUGUUACAAUUAUUUACAAACUGACUUAUAUGGGGUAUACUGUAAAUGACUUAUUGUUACAAAAAACACAUUUUAGAGUGAUGUUUUUGUUCAUUUUAUGUAUCUUCAUUAUCACAUGAAAAAAACAACAUCCCAUAUGAAUUUCUUGAAGAAAAAGUAAAUAUUUUACAGAAUUUAUA